GAUGAACGCUGGCGGCGUGCCUAAUACAUGCAAGCCGCGCGAACAGACGAGGAGCUUGCUCCUCUGACGUUAGAGGCGGACCGGUGAGUAAGCUUUGGAUAAUCUACCUUUAAGACUGGGUUCAAUUAGGGCAACCGGAGCAAAUACCGCAUGAUAUAUUGAACAGUAUGGUCCAAUAGUGAAAGACGGUUUUUCUUUCCCAUAUACAUGGACCCGCGCCGCAUUGGCUAGUUGGUAAGGUAACGGCUUACCAAGGGAACUAUGCGUAGCGGACCUGAGAGGGUGGUCGGCCACACUGGAGCUGAGACACGUGCCAGACUGCUACGGGAGGCAGCGGUAGGGGAUCUUCCGCAAGGGGCGGAAGAUUGACGGAGCAACGCCGCGUGAGUGAUGAAGGUCUUCGGAUCGUAAAAGUCUGGUAUUGGUGAAGAACAAAUGUGUAAGUAACUAUGGACGUCUUGACGGUGCCUAAUCAGAAAGGAGCGGCUAACUACAUG
rnacentral:rRNA from 1 species